rnacentral:lncRNA from 1 species
AAAACUCUAGAACUAAGAACUAUAAAAUUAAAGGAAGAGAAGAGAAGAAAAACUAGUUAGAAGCCUCCUCCAAGCAUGGUGUAUGUUGCCUCGCGUGAAUUAUCCUUCAAAGUAUGUUCUAUAUCAACAAAGUGGCGUCUUUUCCUCCAAAAAUAGGUUAAGUCUUGCUUUAUUACGUGUUGGGUAGGUCUAGGGCCGAAAUAACCUUGUUCUGGGCGAAAUUGGACAAAAUCAUGUCAUCGGCACCCUGGGUAGCGCCAGGCGCCCACCAGGGCACUGCCUCAAACUUCCAUUCCGCCUCCAGCGCCACAAGUGGCGCCAGGCGCUGCCUGUGGCGCCCUAGUGCUCAAUUCGUCCGAUUUUGUUCGUUUUGGCUCAAAUCUUGCGUGUUUCCCCCCAAUUGCUCCUGAAUCAUUCCAACACAUAAAAACACUUCAAAUUAAUAUAAAUCAUAGCAUUAAACAUCCCAAAUUCAUGAAACAAAAGUAAAAUAUGAGGCGAUAUACAUACAAAUAUAUAUACUUUAAGUUAAACAUCAACACCCCACACUUAAACUCUU